rnacentral:tRNA from 1 species
GUUGUUGGCUCAGUGGUAGAGUGCUUGCCUAGCAUGUGUGAGAUCCUGGGUUCAAUUCUCAGCACUACA